rnacentral:lncRNA from 1 species
CCAGCAGGGUCCCAGCCAAUGGGAGAGGUGUGCGCUGCUCCAUGAGGCGGCCGUUGGAUCGCCCCCUAGCGGCCAUUUUAGGUACCGCAAUAGCGGCUGUGCCGUGCUGGGGUCGUGGCCGGCGAGGGUCCCUUCUGCUCUGCGUCCCUGGGAUGUGGUGUGGAACAUCCCGAUAAGCGCCAUGACGAGCUCUGGCACCGGGAUUCAAAGCAAAGCCCAUCCCUGGGAGAAGGGGAAAUGCUUGCAGCUGCCCCUGUAAAGCGUGGCCGGGACACGGUGCAGCGUGAGGGCAAGCCCAUGCUCCGGCUCUCAGGAAGCUUCCUCAGCUCAGAACGGAGAAGACAAAAUGGCCGGAGAAAGUGAGCUGACGUCCUUUUUGGGUCAUGAAAGAAGCUGCAGUUUCUUAAAGGAAGGACAUAGGAACAUCCUCUUCAGACUGAGACAAGAAGGGUUAAAGUCUGAAAAAGAAACAGCUGCCAGAGAAAUCUGUGGAUGUGACGUGUUUCAAGAACCUCUCAAACAGUUUAUGUUUGUAAGGGAAGUGAGAACUGAAAACCACCUCAUCCUCUAGCACAAAUAUUUGGAAAUAUUGUUAAUACAUUACUAUAAUGGGA